rnacentral:rRNA from 1 species
UACGUAGGUGGCAAGCGUUGUCCGGAUUUACUGGGCGUAAAGAGCGCGCAGGCGGCUGGUCAAGUCCGAUGUGAAAUCUCCCGGCUCAACUGGGAAACUGCAUCGGAAACUGAUCGGCUUGAAGGUGGGAGAGGGUAGUGGAAUUCCCGGUGUAGUGGUGAAAUGCGUAGAUAUCGGGAGGAACACCAGUGGCGAAGGCGGCGAUGCUGGGAAGAUACUGACGCUGAGGUGCGAAAGCGUGGGGAGCAAACAGG